rnacentral:rRNA from 1 species
GAGAGAGCUUGCUCUCUGGGUGACGAGCGGCGGACGGGUGAGUAAUGUCUGGGAAACUGCCUGAUGGAGGGGGAUAACUACUGGAAACGGUAGCUAAUACCGCAUAACGUCUACGGACCAAAGUGGGGGACCUUCGGGCCUCACGCCAUCAGAUGUGCCCAGAUGGGAUUAGCUAGUAGGUGGGGUAAUGGCUCACCUAGGCGACGAUCCCUAGCUGGUCUGAGAGGAUGACCAGCCACACUGGAACUGAGACACGGUCCAGACUCCUACGGGAGGCAGCAGUGGGGAAUAUUGCACAAUGGGCGCAAGCCUGAUGCAGCCAUGCCGCGUGUGUGAAGAAGGCCUUAGGGUUGUAAAGCACUUUCAGCGAGGAGGAAGGGUUCAGUGUUAAUAGCACUGUUCAUUGACGUUACUCGCAGAAGAAGCACCGGCUAACUCCGUGCCAGCAGCCGCGGUAAUACGGAGGGUGCAAGCGUUAAUCGGAAUUACUGGGCGUAAAGCGCACGCAGGCGGUUUGUUAAGUCAGAUGUGAAAUCCCCGCGCUUAACGUGGGAACUGCAUUUGAAACUGGCAAGCUAGAGUCUUGUAGAGGGGGGUAGAAUUCCAGGUGUAGCGGUGAAAUGCGUAGAGAUCUGGAGGAAUACCGGUGGCGAAGGCGGCCCCCUGGACAAAGACUGACGCUCAGGUGCGAAAGCG